rnacentral:rRNA from 1 species
AUUGAACGCUGGCGGCAUGCUUUACACAUGCAAGUCGAACGGUAACAGGGUGCUUGCACCGCUGACGAGUGGCGAACGGGUGAGUAAUGCGUCGGAACGUGCCGAGUAGUGGGGGAUAACGCAGCGAAAGUUGUGCUAAUACCGCAUACGUACUGAGGUAGAAAGUGGGGGACCUUCGGGCCUCACGCUAUUCGAGCGGCCGACGUCUGAUUAGCUAGUAGGUGAGGUAAAGGCUCACCUAGGCGACGAUCAGUAGCGGGUCUGAGGGGAUGAUCCGCCACACUGGGACUGAGACACGGCCCAGACUCCUACGGGAGGCAGCAGUGGGGAAUUUUGGACAAUGGGCGAGAGCCUGAUCCAGCCAUGCCGCGUGUCUGAAGAAGGCCUUCGGGUUGUAAAGGACUUUUGUCGGGGAGGAAAUCCCCAGCGUUAAUACCGCUGGGGGAUGACAGUACCUGAAGAAUAAGCACCGGCUAACUACGUGCCAGCCGCCGCUGUAACAC